GACGAACGCUGGCGGCAUGCCUAACACAUGCAAGUCGAGCGAGCAGAUCCCUUCGGGGUGAAGCUAGCGGCGGACGGGUGAGUAACACGUGGGCAACCUGCCUCAUAGAGGGGAAUAGCCUUCCGAAAGGAAGAUUAAUACCGCAUAAGAUUGUAGCUUCGCAUGAAGCAGCAAUUAAAGGAGCAAUCCGCUAUGAGAUGGGCCCGCGGCGCAUUAGCUAGUUGGUGAGGUAACGGCUCACCAAGGCGACGAUGCGUAGCCGACCUGAGAGGGUGAUCGGCCACAUUGGGACUGAGACACGGCCCAGACUCCUACGGGAAGCAGCAGUGGGGAAUAUUGCACAAUGGGGGAAACCCUGAUGCAGCAAUGCCGCGUGAGUGAUGACGGCCUUUGGGUUGUAAAGCUCUGUCUUCGGGGACGAUAAUGACGGUACCCGAGGAGGAAGCCACGGCUAACUACGUGCCAGCCGCCGCAGUAA
rnacentral:rRNA from 1 species